AUGGCAUUCAUUGGCCUUGCAAAAGCAUUCGACACAGUGAAUCACAGCGCUCUCUGGACCAUCCUCCAAAAAAUCGGGUGCCCUGACAAAUUUGUGAACAUCCUGCAGCUCCUCCAUGAUGACAUGUUGGCAACAGUCUUGGACAGCAACGGCUCCCAAAGUGACCCAUUUAAGGUGGAAUCAGGUGUCAAGCAGGGAUGUGUUAUUGCCCCCACCUUGUUUUCCAUCUUCAUCACUAUGAUACUUCACCUUGUUGAUGGGAAGCUUCCCACCGGAGUGGAAAUCAUCUGUUGGACAGAUGGCAAGCUAUUUAACCUCAGCAGACUGAGAGCCAAAACCAAGGUCACCACAUCAGUUAUAGAACUCCAAUAUGCUGAUGACAACAUAGUCUGUGCGCAUUCAGAAGAAGACCUACAAGCCACUCUAAACACCUUCGCAGAAGCAUACGAGAAGCUCGGCCUCUCAUUGAACAUUGAGAAAACCAAAGUGCUCUUCAAACAGGCACCAGCCAAUCCUUCUGCAAAGCCAGGAAUACAGCUUAACGGUGUCACAUUAGAAAACGUUGACCAUUUCCGCUCCCUUGGCAGCCACCUCUUCACAAAAGUCAACAUCGACACUGAAAUACAACACUGCCUGAGCUCUGUGAGUGCAGCAUUUUUCCGCAUGAAGCAGAGAGUGUUUGAUGAUUGGGACAUCCGUAGAGAGACCCAGGCGCUUUUGUUUACAAAGCCAUUCCCCUCCCAACCCUGCUCUACGCCUGCGAAACGUGGUCUACAGAUAUCACACCAAACUCCUGGGAGCGUUUCCAUCAGCGUUGCCUUAGAAAAAUCCUGCAAAUCUCUUGGGAAGACAGGCGGACAAAUGUCAGCGUGCUGGAAGAAGCAAAGACCACCAGCAUUGAAGCGAUGCUCCCUACGCCAUCAACUCCGCUGGACUGGCCACGUUGUCCGAAUGCCUGAUCGCCGUCUCCCAAAGCAGUUGCUCCACUCCGAACUCAAGAAUGGGAAAUGGAAUGUUGGUGGGCAGGAAAAGAGAUUUAAAGAUGGGCUUAAAGCCAACCUUAAAAAAUGGUGGCAUAGACACUUUGAACUGGGAAGCCCUGGCCCUUGA
rnacentral:lncRNA from 1 species